GACGAACGCUGGCGGCGUGCUUAACACAUGCAAGUCGAACGCUGAAGCUCAGCUUUUGUUGGGUGGAUGAGUGGCGAACGGGUGAGUAACACGUGAGUAACCUGCCCCCUUCUUUGGGAUAACGCCCGGAAACGGGUGCUAAUACUGGAUUUUCACUGGUCUUCGCAUGGGGGUUGGUGGAAAGGGUUUUUCUGGUGGGGGAUGGGCUCGCGGCCUAUCAGCUUGUUGGUGGGGUGAUGGCCUACCAAGGCUUUGACGGGUAGCCGGCCUGAGAGGGUGACCGGUCACAUUGGGACUGAGAUACGGCCCAGACUCCUACGGGAGGCAGCAGUGGGGAAUAUUGCACAAUGGGCGCAAGCCUGAUGCAGCGACGCCGCGUGAGGGAUGGAGGCCUUCGGGUUGUGAACCUCUUUCGCUCAUGGUCAAGCCGCAACAAUGGUUGUGGUGAGGGUAGUGGGUAAAGAAGCGCCGGCUAACUACGUG
rnacentral:rRNA from 1 species